UCCUACGGGGGGCAGCAGUGAGGAAUAUUGGUCAAUGGGCUUACGCCUGAACCAGCCAAGUCGCGUGAGGGAAGACUGCCCUAUGGGUUGUAAACCUCUUUUGUCAGGGAGCAACGCCGGCUACGUGUAGCCGGACUGAGAGUACCUGAAGAAAAAGCAUCGGCUAACUCCGUGCCAGCAGCCGCGGUAAUACGGAGGAUCCAAGCGUUAUCCGGAUUUAUUGGGUUUAAAGGGUGCGUAGGCGGAUUGAUAAGUUAGAGGUGAAAUGUCCGAGCUUAACUCGGGAACUGCCUCUAAUACUGUUU
rnacentral:rRNA from 1 species